rnacentral:rRNA from 1 species
GAUGAACGCUGGCGGCGUGCCUAAUACAUGCAAGUCGAGCGAACAGACGAGGCGCUUGCUCCUCUCACGUUAGCGGCGGACGGGUGAGUAACACGUGGAUCACCUCCCUAUAAGACUGGUAUAACUUCGGGAAUCCGGCGCUAAUCCCGUAUAAUAUCUUGAACCGCAUGGUUCAAUAGUGAAAUACGGUUUUGCUGGCACUUAUAGCUGGUUCCGGGCCGCAUUAGCUAGUUGGUAAGGUAACGGCUUACCAAGGCAACGAUGCGUAGCCGACCUGAGAGGGUGAUCGGCCACACUGGAACGUGGACGGGGUCAAGAGUCCUACGGGAGGCAGCAGUAGGGAAUCGGCCGCAAUAGGGGGAAGCCUGACGGAGCAACGCCGCGUGAGUGAUGAAGGUCUUGGGAGCGUAAAGCUCUGUUAUGGGGGGAGAACAAAUGUGUAAGUAACUAAGCACGUCUUGACGGUACCUAAUCAGAAAGCCACGGCUAACUACGUG